AAAUCUGUUCGAUUUGGUUCUGCAUGGUUGGCGAGAUGAGCAGCUCACCGUGCGGCUGCGACGGAAAUGUGAGGCGGAAUGCGUAUUCGCGCCUCACUUUGGUGUUCGGAGCCAGCAAUGCCUCUAAAAUGCUGCUGGCAACUGCCCCUCCCCAAUCGAUUCGACGCCAUCGUCACCAUUGCCUACGAAGCUCAAGCAAGAAUCCGCAAUCCUGUUCAUGGCUGCGUUGCUCACAUCUUCGCAACAGGUGGUGCAUUUGCAAGAUGAAUUGAUGCAGACGAGAGCUCAGCUGGCAGCGCAUCAAUUUCCGACGAUGCAAGGCUACGACGUUAGUGAUGGAUUUAGUGGUAUGCAGUGCUACACAGAUGAUGAAGUUGUGCUGUUGCAACGCCAAACUACCCACGAUGAUACUCAACAAUGGGAACUGAUAUCUCUCUCUAUAUAUAUACAAGUUUUUACCUAAUUAUAGAGGAUGCUCAUUCUAGCUACUAUUAUGCAUUAAUUUAUAUUAUGACUCGAUCGUUUUUUUGGUUUAUAUACCACAAUUAACCUCAUUUAUAUA